UACAGAGACUGCAAGCGUUGUUCGGAAUUACUGGGCGUAAAGGGCUCGUAGGUGGCCAACUAAGUCAGACGUGAAAUCCCUCGGCUUAACCGGGGAACUGCGUCUGAUACUGGAUGGCUUGAGUUUGGGAGAGGGACGCGGAAUUCCAGGUGUAGCGGUGAAAUGCGUAGAUAUCUGGAGGAACACCGGUGGCGAAGGCGGCGUCCUGGACCAACACUGACACUGAGGAGCGAAAGCCAGGGGAGCAAACGGG
rnacentral:rRNA from 1 species